CAUAUUGCACUUUAUGACGUAGCAGUAACUUAAAACAAAAAAUAUAGUUUAAAAAAACUAAAACACACGCUUUUAAAGCACAUCGAACUAAAAAGUUAGAAAUAAUUUUUAUAAUAAGCUUAAAACAAUAAUGUACGAAAAGUACUAGUAUUAUUGUCAUAAAAGCGUCGGGCGCUUAAUAUACAAAAAAUAUGACACAAAACACCAACGCUUUUAUCCAACUGUGAUGGGUUUUUUUUUAAUUAUUUUAAACUUUUUAGUUCGAUGUGCUUUAAAAGCGUGUUUUUUAGUUUUUAAACUAUGUUUUUUAAUCAUUUAUUUUUAUUUAGAUGUCAAUUGUGAAUUGAAAGAUGAUUCAGUCGAACUAAUAGAAUAUCCUAAGGUUACAUGUUAUGAUAGUAGUUACUAUCAAUAUCAUGGUUGUGACGGGUAACGGUAAAUCAGGGUUCGAUUCCGGGGAGGGAGUCUGAGAAACGGCUCCCACAUCCAAGGAAAGCAGCAGGCGUGUAAAUUACCCACUCCCGGAACAUGGAGGUAAUGACGAAAAAUGACGAUUCCGAAAUCAUCCUUUGUAAUCGGAAUGAAUGAGUUCUAUAUGUUUAAAUAAGAAUAAAGAAUAGUGUGCCGUCUUUUGGUGAGCGUGGCGUGGGGAGGGGUGAAUGCGUUAUGACAGUCUAGUCUAGACGACGGAAUAUGCGAUAACGCAUGGCGUUUGGAGAGUUACAAACAUACAUACAUACAUACAUGCAUACAUACAGGUGAAACUAAUAUAAGCGUGUUAAAAAAAUCCAGCACAGUGGGGUCGUGGCAUAGUUGGGUCCAGCAUAGAUGAUAUCUGACAGUGAUUAAAAUCACUAUCAUAAAAAACGCUUCGAUGCAAUACUGUAGAUAGUGUUUAAUUUUUAGGAGGAAUUAUUCCAAAAGCAACAUC